rnacentral:rRNA from 1 species
UCGCUCCUACCGAUUGAGUGAUCCGGUGAAUAAUUCGGACUGCUGCCAUUUUCAGUUCCUGAGAUUGGCGGUGGGAAGUCUAGUGAACCUUAUCACUUAGAGGAAGGAG